rnacentral:rRNA from 1 species
GGCUUACCGCGCAUGACGCAGCGAGAAGUCCAUUGAACCUUAUCAUUUAGAGGAAGGAGAAGUCGUAACAAGGUUUCCGUAGGUGAACCUGCGGAAGGAUCAUUGAUGAGAUCUGUGCCUCGGCGAACGACUAACGCUGCAAAACCAUCUGGACGCGUCGGACCUGCGCCCGUGCUGACCGCGGGAAGGGGGCAGCUCGGGGGCAGAAUAAUAAGGCCAGGUGUCGAGUACACCAAGCUAUGCAGGAUAUCAUCGUCGCGCAGCUGUGGGGUAUCUGCCCUGCGGGCCUGCCUGGGGAUGGCUACUUGUCGCAUGACAGCGAUCUUUAUAACUCUCGACAACGGAUAUCUUGGCUCUCGCAUCGAUGAAGAACGCAGCGAAAUGUGAUAGGUGGUGUGAAUUGCAGAAUCCCGUGAACCAUUGAGUAUUUGAACGCAAGUUGCGCUCGAGGCUAUUAGCCGAGGGCUCGCCUACCUGCGCGUCGUGCGAUCUUUCGCUCCCCCUUGCAGCUGGCAUAGUCGCCGCACCUUUCGGGCACGGCCAGCUGCGACGCGGAUGCGAUCGGUGGCCCUACAUGCGAUAGCGUGUUGGGCUAAAGUGGGGUCCCUUGUCGGCGUGCAACAGCCCUGGCAAUUUGUGGAUGAUGCGCGGGGAGACCCUUCCGACGACCGGAGAUCCUUUUUGCCGGAGCAGCCGAUCAAGUUACGACCGCAACGAACCCGACAGUUACCACGGCCUCUGUUCAGUAGCCGGCGGAACGUGACCUCAGGUUAGGU